CGACCAUUUUGUUUGGGGAGAGGGGGGAACACUCGAGCGAUCCAGUAAUUAUGGGGGGAUACUGAACGUUUCUGCGCGGCCCAGGAUUACUUUGCCUGGAAGAUCGGACCGCGUGGUAAAACACAGCCAUCACGUGUAGCUUGUGUGAUAGUGACUGUUGGUUCUGGAAGGGAGUCUGGGUUGACAGGUACUUGAACACCUCUCUCCCAUUCUUGCUUCCAUUGAUCAGUAAUAACCCAAUAUUCAUUGGGACUUAGUGGCUCACUGUCAGAGUGGUCUGGGGGUCCAGGAUGCCCCUCCUUGACUGGACGACGCCAUCGUCUCCUCCUCUUCUGAGGGCCCCAUGGUAGCUGCCAGCGACGACGAACCCGACGCUGGAACCAGCCUGCAUUUGCGCCUUUUGAUUGCGCCU